CUGAGUGACAAACUCCCAGCAUUGACACACAACGCCAGGAAGGGUGGGAUGAAAACUUUCCUGUAGCCUGAGGCACGCUGACCUAGACCUUCUGCAAAGCUAACAAGGGGUCCCAGAAGAAAUAAAAGAAACAUCUGGCCGUGGAAUUAGGAAAGAGGACUUGUCAAUAUGGAUCUUGCCAACAACAGAGGCUUGAACCUCAUGCUAAACUUUGGUUUGAUCUUCUUGGUGCUGCUGCUGAUGUUCAUUCUGGUAAAACUCAUGUGAGAGUCAGAA